rnacentral:rRNA from 1 species
GAUGAACGCUAGCUACAGGCUUAACACAUGCAAGUCGAGGGGUAACAAGAGAAAAGCUUGCUUUUCUUGUUGACGACCGGCGCACGGGUGAGUAACGCGUAUCCAACCUGCCCAUAACUAGGGAAUAACCUUGCGAAAGUAAGACUAAUACCCUAUAAUUUCCUUUGACGGCAUCUGACGAGGAAUAAAGAUUUAUCGGUUAUGGAUGGGGAUGCGUCUGAUUAGCUUGUUGGCGGGGUAACGGCCCACCAAGGCAACGAUCAUGUAGGGGUUCUGAGAGGAAGGUCCCCCACAUUGGAACUGAGACACGGUCCAAACUCCUACGGGAGGCAGCAGUGAGGAAUAUUGGUCAAUGGGCGAAAGCCUGAACCAGCCAAGUAGCGUGCAGGAUGACGGCCCUAUGGGUUGUAAACUGCUCUUAUACAGGAAUAAAGUUAGCCACGUGUGGUUAUUUGUAGGUACUGUAUGAAUAAGGACCGGCUAAUUCCGUGCCAGCCGCCGCCGUAA